UGGGGAAGUGCACGGGAAUGGUUAAACAAAGCCCCUGGGAGAGAAAGAAACCAGAGUACUGGAGAAGCCCUCUGUCAAACUACAGUUAGGAGACUAGAAACGAAAUUCUUUUUGUUGACAAGGACCAGAAAUGAAUAAACCUCUUCUCUCCUAAUCUUGAGGCCCUAACCUCUGCCAGAAGGAAAAGAAGAAAAAGUGCUCCAUGCCACGCUGGAGAGUUAAAA